rnacentral:rRNA from 1 species
GACAGAGGGUGCAAACGUUGUUCGGAAUUACUGGGCGUAAAGCGCGUGUAGGCGGCUCGGAUAGUCGGGUGUGAAAGCCCUGGGCUCAACCCAGGAAGUGCACUCGAUACUGCCGAGCUGGAGUCCCGGAGAGGAUGGCGGAAUUCUCGGUGUGAGAGGUGAAAUUCGUAGAUAUCGAGAGGAACACCUGUGGCGAAGGCGGCCUCUGGAUCG